GAUAUUUCCUCUCAAUUUAUGGAAGUAGGGAAUUUUUCUGAAGGCAGAAAUCAAGGAUUCAAGAACCCAAGUUGGACUCUUGAUUCCACUGAGACCACUGUGUGCAUUUUGAAAUGUUCCAAAUGUGUAUCACGUCCAUACGGAAGAAGUUCCAAGCCCACAAUGGGCUCUAUGAACUGUCCAGGGCAAAGUCGGUCUACCCUGAUGACACUCCCUGUUCCUUGAUGGUAACCAUGGCUGCUGCCCUCAACGUGAGCCCUCAGAAAUAAACUGAUAUCAAUAAUUAAUAUGGAUGGUGAUUGUGGCAAGGGUGCCUCCAUAAGGUGCCAUCCAGAAGCCCCAGCCUGGAGCCAGUGGCUGCUAUUGCAAGACUCAUGGGGGAUGAUCUGCAGGCAAAGCUACGAUUAGACACUUGACAUUUACUGCGAAAGGUACCAUCAGAGCACCUCUCCCUACCCUGCAGGAUAUCUAUACCAGAAAAGUACAACAACGGCCCAAAACUAUUUCCAAAAGACAUUUCACACCCUGACCAUGGACUGUUUAAACCACUGAGGUCAAGCAGACGUCUCUGUUCCCACAUGGCUAAAACAGAAAGGAAACAAGGAGUCUUUUCUCAAUAUGCUGCUCCAUCGCUCCACCCCUGAAACAUCAGUUUCGAUCUUGAACACAUGAGGAUGUUGCCUCAAGUUUGCCUGCAGACAGUCAAUAUAGACAGGUGUGUUGUUUUGAUUUGAUGUUUAGAUUGCCAUGCAUACAGUAUCUUUACAAUAAUGAUGAACAUGUAUGAACAAUGAACAAAUUCUCAUUUGGUUUUACCUACAUUGGGAUUAAAGGAACACUUAACCGUUUUUUCAUAUUAAACUACAUUAUUCCCUUAACUAAGACGAGUUGAUACAUACCUCUCACGUUUCAAUGCGUGCA